AGUGAACGCUGGCGGUAGGCCUAACACGUGCAAGUCGAACGGCAGCACAGAGGAGCUUGCUCCUUGGGUGGCGAGUGGCGGACGGGUGAGGAAUACAUCGGAAUCUACUCUGUCGUGGGGGAUAACGUAGGGAAACUUACGCUAAUACCGCAUACGACCUACGGGUGAAAGCAGGGGGUCUUCGGACCUUGCGCGAUUGAAUGAGCCGAUGUCGGAUUAGCUAGUUGGCGGGGUAAAGGCCCACCAAGGCGACGAUCCGUAGCUGGUCUGAGAGGAUGAUCAGCCACACUGGAACUGAGACACGGUCCAGACUCCUACGGGAGGCAGCAGUGGGGAAUAUUGGACAAUGGGCGCAAGCCUGAUCCAGCCAUACCGCGUGGGUGAAGAAGGCCUUCGGGUUGUAAAGCCCUUUUGUUGGGAAAGAAAUCCAGCUGGUUAAUACCCGGUUGGGAUGACGGUACCCAAAGAAUAAGCACCGGCUAACUUCGUGCCAGCCGCCGCAGUAA
rnacentral:rRNA from 1 species